rnacentral:rRNA from 2 species
UCCUACGGGAGGCAGCAGUGGGGAAUAUUGGACAAUGGGGGCAACCCCGAUCCAGCCAUGCCGCGUGUGUGAAGAAGGCUUUCGGGUUGUAAAGCACUUUCAGCGAGGAGGAAAGCGGUGUUGUUAAUACCAGCAUCGUGUGACGUUACUCGCAGAAGAAGCACCGGCAAACUCCGUGCCAGCAGCCGCGGUAAUA